rnacentral:misc_RNA from 1 species
GGUGAAGAACGUAGCGAAAUGCGAUAAGUAAUGUGAAUUGCAGAAUUCAGUGAAUCAUCGAAUCUUUGAACGCACAUUGCGCCCGCCAGUAUUCUGGCGGGCAUGCCUGUUCGAGCGUCAUUUCAACCAUCAAGCCCCCGGCUUGUGUUGGGGACCUGCGGCUGCCGCAGGCCCUGAAAACCAGUGGCGGGCUCGCUGUCACACCGAGCGUAGUAGAUUUUCAUCUCGCUCAGGGCGUGCUGUGGGUUCCGGCCGUAAAAAGCCUUAUUUACCCAAGGUUGACCUCGGAUCAGGUAGGAAGACCCGCUGAACUUAAGCAUAUCAAUAAGCGGAGGA